rnacentral:rRNA from 1 species
AAAGAUUAAGCCAUGCAUGUCUAAGUAUAAGCAAUUAUACGGCGAAACUGCGAAUGGCUCAUUAUAUAAGUUAUCGUUUAUUUGAUAGCACAUUACUACUUGGAUAACCGUGGUAAUUCUAGAGCUAAUACAUGCUAAAAAUCCCGACUUCGGAAGGGAUGUAUUUAUUAGAUUAAAAACCAAUGCCCUCUGGGCUCUCUGGUGAAUCAUGAUAACUGCUCGAAUCGCAGGGCCUCGUGCCGGCGAUGGUUCAUUCAAAUUUCUUCCCUAUCAACUUUCGAUGUUUGGGUAUUGGCCAAACAUGGUUACAACGGGUAACGGAGGGUUAGGGCUCGACCCCGGAGAAGGAGCCUGAGAGACGGCUACUACAUCCAAGGAAGGCAGCAGGCGCGCAAAUUACCCAAUCCCGACACGGGGAGGUAGUGACAAUAAAUACUGAUACAGGGCUCUUUCGGGUCUUGUAAUUGGAAUGAGUACAAUUUAAAUCCCUUAACGAGGAACAAUUGGAGGGCAAGUCUGGUGAACGUUUGCUGGUGCCAGAGAGAGCCAACCCUCCUGUGGGCGACGGAAGAUGGCUAGUCGCGCGCUCGAUCAGUGACGGGUGAGCGCCGGCGAGACAACCUGGAUCGGGGAAGGCUAAGGGCCCCAAGAGGGCCUAUCGCUGAUCCCGAGCAGAGCCCCGCGGCCAGCGUGCUGAAGGGCCUGUGUAGAGCGCGCCAAGGUGUCGGUCCAGGGCGGGCGAGGGCGUUCCCUCCCUCCCCUCCCAGGGCUUAAGGUACGUGCCAAUCCCCUGCGAAAGCAGGGCCCUGCGGAAUAGCACCCGUCGUGCGAAGCCGUCAGGGGAGGACUCCUACCUAGGCGAUGGCGCCUGGGUAGGUGGCCUCUGUGACGAUAGUGGCCAGCAGCCGCGGUAAUUCCAGCUCCAAUAGCGUAUAUUAAAGUUGUUGUGGUUAAAAAGCUCGUAGUUGAACCUUGGGCCUGGCUGGCCGGUCCGCCUCACCGCGUGUACUGGUCCGGCCGGGCCUUUCCCUCUGUGGAACCCCAUGCCCUUCACUGGGCGUGGCGGGGAAACAGGACUUUUACUUUGAAAAAAUUAGAGUGCUCCAGGCAGGCCUAUGCUCGAAUACAUUAGCAUGGAAUAAUAGAAUAGGACGUGCGGUUCUAUUUUGUUGGUUUCUAGGACCGCCGUAAUGAUUAAUAGGGACAGUCGGGGGCAUCAGUAUUCAAUUGUCAGAGGUGAAAUUCUUGGAUCUAUUGAAGACUAACUACUGCGAAAGCAUUUGCCAAGGAUGUUUUCAUUAAUCAGGAACGAAAGUUAGGGGAUCGAAGACGAUCAGAUACCGUCGUAGUCUUAACCAUAAACUAUGCCGACUAGGGAUCGGGCGAUGUUAUUUUUUGACUCGCUCGGCACCUUACGAGAAAUCAAAGUGCUUGGGCUCCAGGGGGAGUAUGGUCGCAAGGCUGAAACUUAAAGAAAUUGACGGAAGGGCACCACCAGGGGUCAACGUUCGCGCUGCAAACAAGUCCGCCGCAGUCGAUUCUGCUCCGAAAAGCCGCCCGAAAGGGUCAGGUGGUCGCUCCCUCCAGGGCCUACGAGCGCCCCGGAAAACCAAAAGGCUAGUCUCCCUCGCCGGAGGCGACAUCCUCAAACUGACGGGGACACCCUAAAGCUCCCGCUCCAAAGCCGGUGCAGCGAAAGCCGCCGGUGGCCAGGCCAACAGCCUCGGGUACUGGAACAACGCUGGGAGAUGCAACAAUGGGCGAUCCGCAGCCAAGCCCCUACCUGUCCCUCCGGGGGCACACGGGGAAGGUUCAGAGACUUGACGGGGAUGGGUGAGUACGCUCAGCAGGUCCGAAGGCUCGAGUUCGCAGCAGGCGCCCUGCCUGUUCGAAUUCGAUCGCGCGCACGCUGCUCCGCCUACUGGCUUAAGAUAAAGUCCGUCCCUCCGCGAGAGCGGGGUGGAAAUACACGGGAACCUGCGGCUUAAUUUGACUCAACACGGGGAAACUCACCAGGUCGACUUCGUCUGGGCCUGGAAAAGUCGGGCGCCUGCUGCCAACAGCACAACGGCAGGCGCUGCAGGCUAGUAUCGAACUUCACUCCGCGUGGGGAAGCCCCCUCGUCGGGCGCGGAGGCGGCAGCCGUCGAGGCCGCCGUUGUUCGAUGCGACACCAGCUGGUACAGGGGACGCCGAGCCAACGCAGCGGGCUGCUAGCUGCUGCGUGGGCAGGCCAAUCCUGUGGCGAGCUCGGGUUGCGCCGAGCCGCUGCAACGCGCGCUAAGCGGUGGGCUGGGGGAGCUCGUUCAGGCUCCUCUGGCUUAAGGUACGUGCUAAUCCCGCAGGGAACUGCGGCCCCUCUGAACAGGUCCGACUUCACCGAAGCGGAGGGGGCGGUGCGCCGAGCGAGAGCCCGGGCGUGCCGUGUCGUGAUGAUGCCAGACACAAUGAGGAUUGACAGAUUGAGAGCUCUUUCUUGAUUUUGUGGGUGGUGGUGCAUGGCCGUUCUUAGUUGGUGGAGUGAUUUGUCUGCUUAAUUGCGAUAACGAACGAGACCUUAACCUGCUAAAUAGCCCGUAUUGCUUUGGCAGUACGCCGGCUUCUUAGAGGGACUAUCGGCUCAAGCCGAUGGAAGUUUGAGGUAAUAACAGGUUGAAGGAGAUAGAAAUAUCACAGGCCUGUCACAGUGGGAUGCCUCGCUAAACAUUGACCCGCUAGUCCAGCGACUUUACCUCCGUUGGGGAAGCUCCCCUUCUGUCGGGCGGAAUAGGAGGCCCUCCUGCCGAAAGGAAGAGAGGGCCUUGUCGCGGGCGACACCACCUGGUACAGGGGACGCCGAAUCGCUCCAGCAGCCUGCUGGGCGACAGGCCAAUCCUGUGGCGAGCUCGGGUUGCGCCGAGCCGUCGCAACGCGCGCAAAGGGGUGGGCUGCGUCUCCCGCAAGAGGGAGCCAGCUUAAGGUACGUGCUGAUCCCAUGGGAGAACCAUGCCCCCUACAGUGAGACCCGACAGGUCAAGCUGUAGAGGGGGGCCGAACCGGUAGAAAGGAAUACCGGUCGGCCUGGCGCCCGCGAGGGCAAAGAUGCUGUGAUGCCCUUAGAUGUCCUGGGCCGCACGCGCGUUACACUGACGGAGCCAGCGAGUACUCCCUUGGCCGGAAGGCCCGGGUAAUCUUGUUAAACUCCGUCGUGCUGGGGAUAGAGCAUUGCAAUUAUUGCU